GCCCCGGUAGCUCAGUGGACAGAGCGCGGCUCUCCUAAGGCCGGCGUCGCAGGUUCGAUUCCUGCCCGGGGCA
rnacentral:tRNA from 1 species